ACUUAUUAUGAGGUUCCUCGAUCGAUUAAGGGUACUUUGAGGUCUAAAACCCUUAACCAGUAAACCUUCGGAAAUUUUGCUCCCAUUUUAAGAACUUAAAUAACAUAACAAAAUAUCGGUGGAUCUCUCUCCUAAUUACCAACCAGGGAAGACAAGAAAAUGGCGAGAGGAACAAUACCUGAUAAAUGGUCAAUGAGGCUUCUUUGGCUUUGUGCUCUUGGAAGUGCAGUUGGUUUCUACAUGGUUGCUGUGGAAAGGCAAAUGCAGAAUAGAGAUAAGAUGAUGGCUGAAUUGGGCAACAUCGAAUCGAAUGGCGGUUCGAGUGAGGAUGUUUAGCUUGAAUCAAGAUUCAAGAGUAAUACAUCUUUGAGAAUUUGUGUUGAUUUGUUUUUUGAAUAAUCUGAUUGAGACUUUCUUUGUUUGUUAAUCAAAAGUUGUUCAGUUUCGAAUUCACUUGAAAUUUUAUACUUGAGCAUACUGUGUUUUGAUGAUUCGAAGUUGUUUCUAGGUUGAGAAAAGGAUUCUGUAUUGCAUAAUUCAUAAAUAAUACAGUAAGAUUGAGAAUUCAGAGGGUAA